GACAAGUUGGCUGUCAUUAGUCACACAAUUAACAUAUACAAAUAUUGGCAGUGGAAGUGGAAGAGCGUCGAGCGGCAUGCAUGUCCCUCAGCUGAGGGCAGGGAGGCUGCAGCUGGGACUCCGACUGAGGCUGGGUCUGGGGCUGAGCCUGCGACUGUGACUGCUGCUGCGGUUGCAGUCCGAGAAAGAGAGAGAGAAAAGUCAUCUUCGUGGAUGGUCACGUACAGGCAGGGGUUAGGUAUAGGCACAGGGUACAAGGCAGGCAGACCGAUGAACGAGGCGCAGGAGACACGCUGACUUCAGCAAAUUGUCAAUUACUCAUGCGAUGAGCGAAAGGAGCAGCAGCAGCAGCAGCAAACCACCAGUCAGGUAGGAAGCUCCACACAAAAGCAGGACAGGACAGAGCAGUACCCUAGUGCCCCUCCCGCCUCGUUAGUUGAGCCAAAGUUGAGGCGGCUGUGACCGAAAACCAAAACCAAAAACCGGAGCUAUAGCCUGGGACCGCCUGUCGUCGACGACUGCCUUUUAAAGCAUCAUUAGCAGCGAUAAUUAGCGCCGUGCAGACGACAGGCCCAGAGAUUGCCUCCACAGAGAGACGAGAGAGAGAGAGAGACAGAGACGGAGACGAUGGGUCGCCCGCUGACGGACUGGUCUGGUCUUGCUGUUUCUCUGCCUCCUUCUGUGGCAGGCAACAAUUUUGGUG
rnacentral:lncRNA from 1 species